rnacentral:rRNA from 1 species
UACGUAGGGGGCAAGCGUUGUCCGGAAUCACUGGGCGUAAAGCGCGCGCAGGCGGUCAUCUACGUCUGGGGUGAAAGCCCGGAGCUCAACUCCGGGACUGCCUUGGAUACGGGAUGACUUGAGGAUCGGAGAGGCAAGGGGAAUUCCACGUGUAGCGGUGAAAUGCGUAGAGAUGUGUAGGAACACCAAUGGCGAAGGCAGCUUGCUGGGCCGCACCUGACGCUGAGGUACGAAAGCGUGGGGAGCGAACAGG